UACGUAGGAGACGAGCGUUGUCCGGAGUUACUGGGCGUAAAGGGUGCGCAGGUGGCGGCGCGCGUGGGGGGUGAAAUCGCCCGGCUUAACUGGGCGGGGGCCUUCCAGACGGCGUGGCUUGAGCAGCGGAGGGGGACGUGGAAUUCCUGGUGUAGCGGUGAAAUGCGCAGAUAUCAGGAGGAACACCGGUGGCGAAGGCGGAUCUCUGGGCCUUACCUGACGCUCAGGUGCGAAAGCUAGGGGAGCGAACAGG
rnacentral:rRNA from 1 species